rnacentral:rRNA from 1 species
AUUGAACGCUGGCGGCAUGCUUUACACAUGCAAGUCGAACGGCAGCGCGGGCUUCGGCCUGGCGGCGAGUGGCGAACGGGUGAGUAAUGCAUCGGAACGUGCCCAGUAGUGGGGGAUAGCCCGGCGAAAGCCGGAUUAAUACCGCAUACGACCUGAGGGUGAAAGCGGGGGACCGAAAGGCCUCGCGCUAUUGGAGCGGCCGAUGUCGGAUUAGCUAGUUGGUGGGGUAAAGGCUUACCAAGGCGACGAUCCGUAGCUGGUCUGAGAGGACGACCAGCCAAACUGGGACUGAGACAAGGCCCAGACUCCUACGGGAGGCAGCAGUGGGGAAUUUUGGACAAUGGGGGCAACCCUGAUCCAGCCAUGCCGCGUGCGGGAAGAAGGCCUUCGGGUUGUAAACCGCUUUUGGUCGGGAAGAAAUCCUCUGGGCUAAUACCCCGGGGGGAUGACGGUACCGGAAGAAUAAGCACCGGCUAACUACGUG